GAUGAACGCUGGCGGCGUGCCUAAUACAUGCAAGUCGAGCGAACAGACGAGGAGCUUGCUCCUCUGACGUUAGCGGCGGACGGGUGAGUAACACGUGGAUAACCUACCUAUAAGACUGGGAUAACUUCGGGAAACCGGAGCUAAUACCGGAUAAUAUAUUGAACCGCAUGGUUCAAUAGUGAAAGACGGUUUUGCUGUCACUUAUAGAUGGAUCCGCGCCGCAUUAGCUAGUUGGUAAGGUAACGGCUUACCAAGGCGACGAUGCGUAGCCGACCUGAGAGGGUGAUCGGCCACACUGGAACUGAGACACGGUCCAGACUCCUACGGGAGGCAGCAGUAGGGAAUCUUCCGCAAUGGGCGAAAGCCUGACGGAGCAACGCCGCGUGAGUGAUGAAGGUCUUCGGAUCGUAAAACUCUGUUAUUAGGGAAGAACAAAUGUGUAAGUAACUAUGCAAGUCUUGACGGUACCUAAUCAGAAAGCCACGGCUAACUACGU
rnacentral:rRNA from 1 species